rnacentral:lncRNA from 1 species
CCGUCGCCCGCACAUUGGCGUGGCGUGCUUUGCGAGGUGUUCGCUGCGAACACCCUGUUUCUCGAUCCUUUUCCAUAGGUUUAAAUGGCAUAACAAUCGAUUUAUCGCAAAGCACGCCACGCCACUGCGCCCGCAACAACCCUUCCACCCCCGCCCUCGGCAACGCGCCGAGCUUUUGCGCCUGUCCCGCCUGAACUUUUGCAGAAAGCUCCCCCGAGCUCACAGUGUCUGGUCCGCUUCAGCACCGUCUCGACGGCGGGCUUAAACUUUCCCCGUUUUUCGGUUUUAACGUUGUAGUUGUAAACGUGUUCGAUACUUUGACGGGUUUCUAUCCUGGGGCAUGCAUCUGCUAAUUGCGCCGUCGAUGGUUUAAAAAGCGCAGGAUUCAUCGGCAACGUCCGGUUCAGUGAAAUUAACUCACUCUUAAAUUCAGGGAGGACUCUGGUUUAAUCUCAGAACGUGCGUGACAGUAAACAGAAAACGUGUUCGAAGUUUAAAAAUAUUUCUUGCACAACAAUUCAAACCAUUCCCAUGGAUGAAUAUCACAAGUUUCCCCUUAAGCGUGAGCUCUCUUGUUUCAGUGUAUCCUCCAGCCUCCUAACUUCUCAUUUCCAAUUCUAAGUAGGCAGGACUAUCAUUGCCUCCCGUAUUCCGCCUCCGUUCACUGCGAGUUUGAAUGUGCGCUGCGCCUGCAUGUCGGGGUGAGACAAUGGGACAAUACUCGGGCGCGUUAUGCAUGUUGCGCUUUGUCGAUUUGAAGGCGCGGUGCGGGCGCUCCACGUGACUGGCUUUCAAACGCGGUUCGGUCUCAGCAUUUCGGCGCCGCGUGUGAGGAUCGGAAUGAGUUAGAGGUGCUCGAAACAAUCGCAAUGGAGCCAGCGCUGUUUCUCCUGAUUCUCUCGACGGUGCUAGCCGAGACCAAGGUUUCGGAGAAGAAUAAAGAGUUGGGAGGAUGCCCGGCGGCGACGCUUUCGGUGAACGGGACGCGGGUGAUCGCGCGGGAGAGUUACGCCAUCGACUACAGCACCGUGACGGAGGUGCGCUUCACCGCGGAGCUGGGCCACCCCUCGGGUCUCACCUCCGACAUCCGGCUCUGCAAGAUCAAGUGCGUCAAAGGACAGUGGGUCGGCCCCAUCUGCCAAGGUAGGCAUAACCACCAGAAUAACUCCUUUCAUUUUAGCAGAGUGGGACCAGCAGGCCGAAUAUUCACUGGAAAAAAAGUCGCUUGGAUCUAGAGGUCAGACUCUUGAUAAAAUCGACAAGAAAAAAUACUCUUGAUUCAAUACGAUUUUUUCUUGAAUCGAGGAGCCGACUGCCGAGCCGCUUGAUCUGGGCGGAUUUUCUUUUGAUUCAAGCAAAAAGUCCGAUUGAAUCAAGAGUAUUUUUUCUUGUCCAUGUUUUUAAGAGUCUGGUCUCUAGAUCCAAGCAACUUUUUUUUUUUUUUUUGAAGGAAUUUUAUUUAAAUAUAAUGUAACUACUACGGAAAAACUAUACAGUAAAACUAUUAGGCCCCUGGCCCUGAUAACAUCAUACCAGUAUUGAGUAAGAUAUUCAUAAAUACAAAUUUUACAGCGUUCAAAAAUAUGAUGAACUCUAUGCUACAGCAAUGCAUUUUUCC